rnacentral:misc_RNA from 1 species
GAUGAAGAACGUAGCGAAAUGCGAUAAGUAAUGUGAAUUGCAGAAUUCAGUGAAUCAUCGAAUCUUUGAACGCAUCUUGCGCUCCUUGGUAUUCUGAGGAGCAUGCCUGUUUGAGUGUCAUUAAAUUCUCAACUACACUGACUUUGAAUUGGUGUGGCUUGGUUUUGGGGGGAAAAUUGUUGUGGGCUUUUUGUAUAGUCUGCUCCCCUGAAAUUGAUUAGCGGUACCUUUGUGGAACUGUCUACAGGUGUGAUAAUUAUCUACAUCUUAGACAUCUGCUGGAAUGCUGCUUUCUAAACCUUACUUGUAUUGACAAUCUUGACCUCAAAUCAGGUAGGACUACCCGCUGAACUUAAGCAUAUCAAUAAGCGGAGGA